UGAAGACCCGCCCCUCGCUGCAAUUCAUGAAAAAAUGAGCCUCCUGAGGCUAGAUUACAUUGAUUAGAACCUGUAUUCACGGCCGAAAAACUUGAUUCAUCCUGCCUUGUCUGGUAGUACUGAUUACCAUACAUGAUUCCGUUCGAGUUUGGCUGCUGACCUCUAGCAAACUCAGCCCAUUGAGUUGAUUGUGCAGAAUCCAAGCCACGCUGCCCAUUAAAUGGAUAACUGCUAUUUCCUCUAGUAGUAUCAGAGAUCUGUAAGUUGUAUGCGUUCGAACUCAGUCCACCUGUCUGCCUCUGGCUUCCAACCCCCAAAUUGUUGCUUAGAGCUGGCAAAUUCCCAUCCACUACAGGGGAAUGGUGUUCUUGUGACAUACUGUCUUGUGCAAAAAAGUUGUGAACCCUAUCUUUGACUUCAUUACCAGGCAUAGAUAAUUUAAGUCCAAAACCUUUGAUUGUUAAAUGUCACUAUGCAGUUACUAACAUAGCAAGAUAUCAAUUAAAACAAACUUUUUUGGCAUCUGGCGUUACAAUUAAAAUCCAGAACUUAAACAUGGGACUAGUAUUCUUGGAAGCUAAGAAUCGGCUGCCUUCUCAAACAACUGCAAACACCUGCAAGACAUUCAUCCGAGUUCAGCUAGGUGAAAG
rnacentral:misc_RNA from 1 species